AGCACUGCCUUCUGUACUGUUCUGGAAAUAGCAACUCUGAGUGCUACUUCCAGAAUUUUCUCUUUCUUGCUUCUGCUCAUGUUGGUGCUUCAUCUGCCUCUGUUUCUACCUCUUUGAAAUCCUCCCCACCCUUCCAGGUUAAUGCCAUCUCCUCCAUGAAGCCUCCUCUGAUCCCAGGUAGAACUGGCCUCUCACUCCUGGGUCCUCUGCACCACUGUCGUCAUUUAUAUUUGUGUCUUACCUGCAUCUCCAUAGGUGCUCAUUAAAUGUUAAAGGAAUGAAAGACUGUUGUACAUAUUUUUAGCUGCCAUGACCAACACAGCAGUACUUAGCAUUGAUGAUAUCCAAAGUUGGGCUUUGGAGAUAAGCAGGCCAGGUUUAAAAGUCUCAGCUCCCUACUUACUGCUGCACCUCUGUGAACCUCGCUUCUUCACCUGCAAACAGGGAUGAUCAUAGUACCUGCCACAGGAGUUAUGAGGCAGUGUAAAGACUUCACAGGAUGCAGAGCUCAUAAUAAAUGUUUAAUAAAAGUUGCCUGUUAUUUGCUCAUAUGUCAUAUGAGCUCAUAUGUUAUUUGCUCAAUUUGAUCUCAGGCUGAUUAUGAUCUUCUCUUUCUUCACUGUUGAACAGAAUAAAAAAAAGACGUCGGGCCCUGGCGUUGGGACGUUGUUUACAAGGCAGGCUCUUCUGCACAGGAGGCUGACUUUCCUGCCUUAUCCUGGUCCACCUCGCAUGUGCUCUGUCUUCCUGCGCAAGUCACACUCCCCUGAACUCAGGGUUCCCCACUGUUAUGGGCCUGACUUUUCAUAGGGGUGCUUCUUCCUCCUCUUCCCCCCUGAGGUGUGUGGGCCCCUGAGGGGCAGCUUAUGACACAUGAGCACCUGUCACCCGCCAAGAGAGGAGGAAGGUCAAAUGUGGGCUGCUGGAGCAGCUGGAACACUCACUUCAGGGAGGAAACCAAGUAGGAGGUUGAGUGACUUGCCCAAGGCCAUGCAGCUGUUCGUUGUUGAGCCGUAAUCAGCACCAGGGUCUCUAGUUCCUCCAGUGCCCUUGCAUCACUCCAAGCACCCCCCACCCCAACACACACACCCUAAACUGACACUUCCUGGCCAUUUUGUGCUUGGAUUACACUACCAGGUCCUGGUGGCUGAGUACCUGAGAGGAGAUUGUCCCUCACUGAGGAUUUUAGAGUCUCUCACACCCCAGGUACUGCUCUUCUGAUGAUUGAUCAGCUCUCUGUUGGCCUUGCGGCAAGGCUGGGGAACACUUAAUGCUGGCUGAAAGAAUGAGGAUCACAAGUACGUGUCACCAUAAGUCACAGUUUCUGUAAAGUUUGAUCACAUGCCAUAGCAUGGGCAUGUUUGCACACCAGUAUAAUUAGAGCUCACUUUGCACCGGCAGCUGGGCAGAUUUGUCCUGUGGGUUCCCCCUUCCCACGCUUAGUCCUUCCUCCCUUCUCAUUAUCCCUUUCCAGCAGGGCCUUUGCCUCUGAAGGAGGAAGCAUGGACGAAGCAAAGCUUCCAGCUGAGACUUCCACGGGCGAGGCCAGGGGCAGCAGCUGUGUGUAGAGGGUCUCUCCUGGUGGCCCUGACUCCCCAUCACCGGGCAAGGGCCUGGCUCAGAUGGCCGGGCUUGGUCUGGCUAUAGAGACCUGACUCACCGGAGCACAGUCAUUGUGCUUCACACAGAGCUUUGUGAACACUCCAGUAGCGUCUGUUGCGAGUGAGUGAAUAAACGGGUGGCUCGACUCUUUCAUUUUAUCUUCUCUUUGGACCUGAGAGAAGGGCAGGUAACCCUGUUGAGAGGUGUGACUAACUCCAAACUGAUCCAGUCGGGCAGCGAGGCCAGGCCGCCGGCUCUGCUCACCAGCACGUGGUCUGGAUCAGAGGCAGGUGUCCCCGCUGCCUCAGCACCUGCGUGUGCGUGUGUGUUAAUCCAUGUGGGGCACACGGAGCUGGGCCCCGCUUCAUCGUCUUUCCAGAGACUCUUAUGGUGUGAAUUUGGUAGCAUCUAACAUGUGAUUAACUUACUUGGGUUUUUUUUUUUUCUUUGUUUAAUGCCUGGAGAAUGGAUUGAAUUUGAUGAUGGAUGCUAUUGCAGUAGAAGUUAUCCUUCUCUGUUUGGUUUGUUAAUCCCGUUUCAUGUCACAAACAAGGGCCUGGUCCUAAUGCAGCAUGUCAUUGGGAGCCUGCUUGGCUUGGAUGUGGUGCAUGUAUGGCUGUGGAGGCUCACUCCAUCAGUGAGGCGGGCACCCCAUGGGGUUUGGAAGGAAGUACUAACUCCUUCUGAAUUACCGGUGGGAAAUGCGGUUGUGCUGGUGGCUUUGUUAUCAAUUUCCUGACUCACUAAAACCCUUUGUCUUUAUUGUUGUCCUCAGUAGCAGGCAUUAGAUAUUGCGUCAAGUGAGAUGGGCUAAACUUUGUGCUUUGCUGGAGCCUUCCCUUGUGACUUGGUGUGUACCUCUGGAAUAGAGGACCUCAUUAAGGGCUCAAAACUCAUUCCGUUUCUGGAGAUACCGUAAACUCCUUCUUAGUUCUGUAUUGCUGUUAUUGCUGUUUUCAUUACUCCUAUGUCUUUUUUUUGGGGGGGGUGGUCUAGAUGACAUUGGUCUGCAUCGUGCACACUGUAUAUUCACAAAAUGAGGUCCUCAGGGUGACCUUGAGUGAGUGCUGUGGGUGUUACUGAAAAUUAAAUUGUACUGAUUUUUUAAAGGUAAUGCAUGUUCUUGGUGCAGAAUUCUAAAAGGACAAAAGAGAGUGUCCAGUGAAGAGUAAGUCUUACUCUUACCCCUGCCUUCCACUGGCAUGGCUGUUUACAAAGAAACCACGUAGUCUUUCUGCAGGCAUUUCCGCUAUUCGGAAACAUCCCUGGCCAUGAACAAGGUAUAAGUGGACCCCCAUCUCCUUAGCACACAAAACUGCAAAGACCUCACUUGGGGGUGGAUUGAAGUGGCCACUGUCAGUGGUGAUAAAUACUAACACAUACUCCUUCUUUUUCUACCUGGUCUCCAUCUUCACCUACCCAAGUCCUCCACCCACCCAAGUUCAAGUGCAGUCUCCUCUGGUACGCCUUGCUUCUCCGAUGUGUGCCCUCUGCCCUGUGCACCCACAGCCCUCUGACACUUCUUAUACACUCCUCACAGACACAUCUCAAGGCUUGUUCAGCAGGAGGCUCUUUCAGGUCUGGGACCCUGGCUGACGCAUCAGGCUGAGGUGGGGAUCUUCCACUGUCACGCUUCACCCAGGCGGUAGGCAGCUCCAUAAAUGAUCAUACGUUCAUUCAUGCAACUCCUUAACCCCUAAUGUGUAUCAAGUAGAGUGGCAGGUGCCAAGGCUGCAAUAGUGAAUAAAACAGACAACAGCAAUACUUAAAUAUCAUUGUGUGGCAUACAAGAGAGAAGUACAGCUCAAAAGCUGCAGUGACAGCAUAUUACAGGGAACUGGGAUGAGUAGAGAAAGCUGCUCUGGGAAGUACAAUCGUGUUUCAUUGAAUCUAAAAUGCUGUGGUUUCUGAGACACAUCAUUAUCUUAUGUUCCACUAAGAAAGAGAAUAUUGCCAAUUAAAUUAGGACACAAUGUU